rnacentral:misc_RNA from 1 species
AUUCGAGACCGUGCAUCUUGGCUGAUUUUGUGUUUUUGUUUAUCAAUGACUUUAUGACGGAAACAGCCGUGUUCCUCAGUAAAAAUAUAUUUAGCAAGUAUACUAAAAAGUAACAUGGAUAUACAAUUUCCAUUUCCAUUUAAACCCUACGAUAUACAAGAGAAGUUCAUGAGAGAACUUUAUUUAACUUUGGAACAACAGCAACUUGGAAUUUUUGAGAGCCCUACUGGCACGGGUAAAUCGCUAAGCAUCUGCUGUGGUACUCUCAAAUGGCUGAAGGACAGCAACCAGAAAAUAUGGGAUGAUCUAGAAAAUGAGGUUGCAAAGCUAAAAGCAGAAAUAUCGAAUAAUACAGCUUCAGAUGACUGGCUAACAGAAGAGUACGAAAAAAUAAAGAAGAAUCAAACAUUAGUCACACUACAGUUAAAACUAGACAACAUUAAAAAACGAAAAGACCUGUUCGAUCAAAUCAAAAUUAGGGUUGCUAAACAGAAGGCUAACUCAGCUAACAAGACUAUUGAAUUUUAUUUUAAUAAGAAAGACAAAAGAGAAAAGGGUGACAAUGAUAAAGAAAAUGUUGUGGAAGAAAAAGAGGAUACAGAAGAAGAUAGAGAUCUUAUUCUAGAAGAAUGUGAGGACAAAGAGGAUGGAGAUUCCGAGGGUGAAGAAAUUGUUGAAGAUCAUGAUGACGUUACAAAAAUAUACAUAAGUAGCAGAACACACAGUCAGCUAUCACAGUUCAUCGGUGAAAUCAAAAGGACAGUCUUUGCAGAAGAUACAAGAGUGGUCACCCUAGCUUCUAGACAACACUACUGUAUUAACUCUGAAGUUAAUAAGCUGAAAAAUGUUAAUCUUAUUAAUGAAAGAUGCUUAGAUAUGCAGAAAUCGAAAACGAAAUCAACCUCAGUAGGUGAGGAGGGCAAGGUACUAAAAAGGACUAAGACAAGAUCAUGCACAGCCUGUCCGUACUAUAAUCAGACAAACAUAACUCGUUUGAAGGAAAGAAUGCUGGUAGAUAUUCUGGAUAUGGAGGAUUUAGUCAAAUGUGGCAAAGAGUUGAAGGCCUGCCCUUAUUACGCUUCUAGAAUGGCAAUGGACGAUGCUGAGGUAGUCCUAAUAAGUCACGCAGGCAUAGUAAGUUCAGGUGCCCGUUCCGGCAUAUCUCUAAAACUACAGAACAACAUACUAAUACUAGAUGAGGCCCAUGGUUUAACAGCAGCUUUAGAGAACGCCCACUCAGCGCCCGUGACGUUCAAACAACUGAGCUCUGUGAAGACAUUCUUGCAGUUUUAUAUCAAUAAGUAUAGAGCGAGAUUGAGUAGUAAGAAUUUGUUGACGUUGAACCAGAUUAGUUUUGUGGUUGGGAAGCUAUUAGGCAUGAUAAAACCCAAACCAACUGAAAAGAAGCAAGACGAAACUACAAUAUUCACCCUUGAAGACUUUGUAAUAAAGGCUGAAAUUGAUCACAUGAACUUACGACCAUUAGUAGAAUUCUGCAGAAACACUAGAUUAGCUCCUAAACUCCACGGUUUCUCUAUGAGGUACAGUCAGCAAGCUCUUGAAGAGGAGAUGAAGAAAAGUACGGUCAGCAAAAAGAGUUCUUUUGAAAUGUUCAUGAGUAAUAUUGCUAAGAAAAAAGAUGGGGAGAAAGUUGAAGUUGUUGCUGAAGUGAAACAAAAUGUAGCACCAGUUCAAGUGCCAACAGAAACAUCAGCAGGCAGUGGGUUGUACGCGAUCCUAGAUUUCCUAGAAAUGCUCUGUGACCGCAGCGAGAACGGACGAGUGUUCGCACAUAGGGACAGUGGACUCAAGUAUCUGUUGUUGAACCCUGCUGAACAUUUUGCUGAUGUUGUGAAGGAAUGUCGAUCUGUGAUAGUAGCAGGUGGUACAAUGGAGCCUAUAUCAGAAUUUAAAGCAUUACUCACCACAAACUCACGCACAGAUGACAUAGUCAAUAUAGUGAGAUGUGAACAUGUAGUACCUUCAGAUAAUGUAUUAGGAGUUUGUCUAUCGAAGGGACCUACCAAUGUCAGUCUUAACUUUUCGUAUGAAAAUAGAAUGUCUAAUGAAUUGCUCAGCGAAAUAGGUCGGAUUCUUCGAAACAUCAGCAGCAUAGUACCGGGUGGCGUUGUAUGCUUCUUACCGUCGUAUUCCUACGAACAAACAGUCUAUGAUCAUCUCAAGAACAGUAAAGUUCUAGAAGCUAUUACUAAGAAGAAAUCCUUAUUCCGUGAACCGAAGUCCGCUUCUGAUGUUGAUCAAGAAGCUAGCAAAUCCGCGAGUAACAUAUUUUACGGGAAGAAGUUCUCUCGAAACGGGACCGGGGGGUGAAAUCGCGGGAUACAGCUAGUGAUGACGGUAUUGAAACUGCACUUGGCCAGUCUUCUUAUUUAGUGAUUGUUUUGUUGUUUUUUGUAGGUGUUAAAUAAAUUCGCAGCAGCAGUAAAAUGCAAAGAUGGAGAUCGCAAUGGUGCCUUAUUGCUGAGUGUUGUUGGUGGUAAGCUCAGUGAAGGACUGAAUUUCAGUGACGAUCUAGGACGAUGUGUAAUGGUAGUAGGCAUGCCGU